GAUGAACGCUGGCGGCGUGCCUAAUACAUGCAAGUCGAGCGAACGGACGAGAAGCUUGCUUCUCUGAUGUUAGCGGCGGACGGGUGAGUAACACGUGGAUAACCUACCUAUAAGACUGGGAUAACUUCGGGAAACCGGAGCUAAUACCGGAUGAUAUUUUGAACCGCAUGGUUCAAAAGUGAAAGACGGUCUUGCUGUCACUUAUAGAUGGAUCCGCGCUGCAUUAGCUAGUUGGUAAGGUAACGGCUUACCAAGGCAACGAUGCAUAGCCGACCUGAGAGGGUGAUCGGCCACACUGGAACUGAGACACGGUCCAGACUCCUACGGGAGGCAGCAGUAGGGAAUCUUCCGCAAUGGGCGAAAGCCUGACGGAGCAACGCCGCGUGAGUGAUGAAGGUCUUCGGAUCGUAAAACUCUGUUAUUAGGGAAGAACAUAUGUGUAAGUCACUGUGCACAUCUUGACGGUACCUAAUCAGAAAGCCACGGCUAACUACGUG
rnacentral:rRNA from 1 species